rnacentral:rRNA from 1 species
UUUAUGGGGUGACUGCGUACCUUUUGUAUAAUGGGUCAGCGACUUAUAUUCUGUAGCAAGGUUAACCGAAUAGGGGAGCCGAAGGGAAACCGAGUCUUAACUGGGCGUUAAGUUGCAGGGUAUAGACCCGAAACCCGGUGAUCUAGCCAUGGGCAGGUUGAAGGUUGGGUAACACUAACUGGAGGACCGAACCGACUAAUGUUGAAAAAUUAGCGGAUGACUUGUGGCUGGGGGUGAAAGGCCAAUCAAACCGGGAGAUAGCUGGUUCUCCCCGAAAGCUAUUUAGGUAGCGCCUCGUGAACUCAUCUUCGGGGGUAGAGCACUGUUUCGGCUAGGGGGUCAUCCCGACUUACCAACCCGAUGCAAACUGCGAAUACCGAAGAAUGUUAUCACGGGAGACACACGGCGGGUGCUAACGUCCGUCGUGAAGAGGGAAACAACCCAGACCGCCAGCUAAGGUCCCAAAGUCAUGGUUAAGUGGGAAACGAUGUGGGAAGGCUCAGACAGCCAGGAUGUUGGCUUAGAAGCAGCCAUCAUUUAAAGAAAGCGUAAUAGCUCACUGGUCGAGUCGGCCUGCGCGGAAGAUGUAACGGGGCUAAACCAUGCACCGAAGCUGCGGCAGCGAC